AACAGGAUUAGAUACCCUGGUAGUCCACGCCGUAAACGAUGUCUACUUGGAGGCUGUGGUCUUGAACCGUGGCUUCCGGAGCUAACGCGUUAAGUAGACCGCCUGGGGAGUACGGCCGCAAGGUUAAAACUCAAAUGAAUUGACGGGGGCCCGCACAAGCGGUGGAGCAUGUGGUUUAAUUCGAUGCAACGCGAAGAACCUUACCUACUCUUGACAUCCAGAGAACUUAGCAGAGAUGCUUUGGUGCCUUCGGGAACUCUGAGACAGGUGCUGCAUGGCUGUCGUCAGCUCGUGUUGUGAAAUGUUGGGUUAAGUCCCGCAACGAGCGCAACCCUUAUCCUUUGUUGCCAGCACGUAAUGGUGGGAACUCAAAGGAGACUGCCGGUGAUAAACCGGAGGAAGGUGGGGAUGACGUCAAGUCAUCAUGGCCCUUACGAGUAGGGCUACACACGUGCUACAAUGGCAUAUACAAAGAGAAGCGAACUCGCGAGAGCAAGCGGACCUCAUAAAGUAUGUCGUAGUCCGGAUUGGAGUCUGCAACUCGACUCCAUGAAGUCGGAAUCGCUAGUAAUCGUAGAUCAGAAUGCUACGGUGAAUACGUUCCCGGGCCUUGUACACACCGCCCGUCACACCAUGGGAGUGGGUUGCAAAAGAAGUAGGUAGCUUAACCUUCGGGAGGGCGCUUACCACUUUGUGAUUCAUGACUGGGGUGAAGUCGUAACAAGGUAACC
rnacentral:rRNA from 1 species